ACACAUGCAAGUCGAGGGGCAGCAUCAUCAAAGCUUGCUUUGAUGGAUGGCGACCGGCGCACGGGUGAGUAACACGUAUCCAACCUGCCGACAACACUGGGAUAGCCUUUCGAAAGAAAGAUUAAUACCGGAUGGUAUAGUUUUCCCGCAUGGGAUGAUUAUUAAAGAAUUUCGGUUGUCGAUGGGGAUGCGUUCCAUUAGGCAGUUGGCGGGGUAACGGCCCACCAAACCUGCGAUGGAUAGGGGUUCUGAGAGGAAGGUCCCCCACAUUGGAACUGAGACACGGUCCAAACUCCUACGGGAGGCAGCAGUGAGGAAUAUUGGUCAAUGGACGAGAGUCUGAACCAGCCAAGUAGCGUGAAGGAUGACUGCCCUAUGGGUUGUAAACUUCUUUUAUACGGGAAUAAAGUGAGCCACGUGUGGCUUUUUGUAUGUACCGUAUGAAUAAGGAUCGGCUAACUCCGUGCCAGCAGCCGCGGUAAUACGGAGGAUCCGAGCGUUAUCCGGAUUUAUUGGGUUUAAAGGGAGCGUAGGCGGGUUGUUAAGUCAGUUGUGAAAGUUUGCGGCUCAACCGUAAAAUUGCAGUUGAUACUGGCGACCUUGAGUGCAACAGAGGUAGGCGGAAUUCGUGGUGUAGCGGUGAAAUGCUUAGAUAUCACGAAGAACUCCGAUUGCGAAGGCAGCUUACUGGAUUGUAACUGACGCUGAUGCUCGAAAGUGUGGGUAUCAAACAGGAU
rnacentral:rRNA from 1 species